GGCUUGGCAAGGAGCCUCCUAGUCCUUCCACUUUGGUUUCAGACUUUGAGGAGACUUGAUGCCUUUGGAGGAGAGCAGCAUUUCACGGUUUCGAGAUGGCCUCCCUGAUGGGAAGGUGUGAUGGGAACUGGGAAGGGGCUCCCAGGCUACGUGUAAUGAGCUGAAGCCCCAGAGGUUACUGACAGACCAAAAUAUCCUGACAACCCCGGAAUGCCAGAAGGAGAGAAGGGGUUUGUAAAUCUGAGGACCUUGACUACUUUUGUAAGAAGGAAUUACUUGCUAAGUACUGUCUCAGAAAGAAACUCUCUUGGAGGUUACCUGGGGACAAGUGGAGGAAGCAAGCCAUAGCCUUUUUGGAAUUGUGAUAAUAUUCCAAGGCAAAUGUUCCCAGGGGCUGGGAUUUUACCUUCUGUCUGUCCUACAAUCAGGGUGUAAGAUGGAGGAAUGCACUUCCCAUCUCUGAGCCACGGUUUCUCAUCCAUAGAAUGGGGAGUUUGGAUUUCUAAGAUCCCCCAUCUCACGCUUUGAAUGCGAUCAGGCUGGGAAUUCAAAAGCAUCUGCUCACUGGGAAAGGGAGGCAGUCAGGGUGGGACAGGGCUUGUAUUGAAUAACGAGAAAGGAGCAUGGUGACUAUGACUUGAGUCAGUCCGGAAAUAAAAUAUAAGGGGGUCUGAUCUGAGGCAGAAGAGGACAGCAGAAAUUCUCCUAGGAGUGGCAGUCAAGCCAGGUCAGGCUCGGGUCAGGCUGCCUGGUUCAGAGAAUGGCAUCAAUGUGUGCAGAGAGGUUCUUAAGGCCAGACAGGUGUCAGGGCCCAAGCCAAGUGGACUGGAGGUCAGAAUAGGGCUUCAGUUCUAAAAAAGGUGCCUGGCUGAGUGCAAAGCAGGCCUGAGUCAUCCAGACCUCACAAUCAUGGCUGGAGUGGCCACAGACAGACCCACAAUGGGUGCAGGGGAUCCCAAGUUUAUGACACCAAGAGUCAUUCCAGGCUUACCUAUGUUUUCAGGGCAAAUACAGGACUGAGUCUAGGCUGGAGGGUUAGAGAAGCUGAAACAGACACCUUUAGAACUGAAGUGUGAUGUUUUCAUUAAUCUGAAUACAAACCAUAGCCAAUAUAUAUGGUGUGCUUUCUCUGUGUCACUCUAUUCUAAGUAUUUCACAUGUGUGAACUCCCUGGCAGGCUAGUAGUAUUAGAGCUUUUGCUUAUUAAUCUCUAUGGUAACAGGUCAUUAAAAAAAAUAAUUAAUUACUGUGUUACCAAGAUCAAAAUAUAGUAAUAUUCGCCUCUUCAGCUGUGACCACCACCAUAGAAAAGUCCAGGCAAAAAUACAGAGAUCAGAAGGGGCAAGUGGAACCCUAUGCAGGCUAAAGACUCUUAGGAAAUAUGGGCCCUUGAAAUGUCCCCAUCUAUGUGGGUUUCAUUGUCAGUCCUUCUUUCUUUGGCAGGGUCAAGGGCAUUUGACCUGUUGAUACACCUAUUGCUUUUCCAGCAAGCCCUACAUCUUUCUAGUAAGGAGUCAAUGCACCAAAGCUGGAGGCCACUGGAGGUGACUCCAGUCACCAUUUUUCAACUUCUCCUAGAAAUGUCUCUUUGGUUUCUUCAGGCUUUGACUUGGGUGACUAUGGAGAACGUGACAUGGGAAGUUAAAAAGCAACAAGAAGUCUUUUAAAAAGUUUGAAUUACAUUGAACAUAUGUCUGAAAUGUAAGAAGGGGUAAGCCCUCUUUCUUACCAUCCUUCCUGACCAUGACCCCUGGGAGUCAGAUAUCCCAGGCACAGCUUAGCUUUCUAACCCUGCUGUGUUGCCCUCCAUGAUCUCUCCGAAUUUCUCUCCCUUUCCUCCCUUUACACUAAAAAUGCUCUAGUUCUGGCCUUCCUCAUCUCGUUAAUAAUUAAGCUGGCUGACUUAACUCCCUGCCUUCUGGUUGCCCUCUUCAAUCUGUCCUUGUCUCUGUCAGCAGCAGCAUCGUCCUGCUCAAAACCACAAAGACCUCCUACUGUGGAAAGACAGGUAUUCAGAAUCCACAUCGCACGUCUAGAUCCCCUGUGAUGUGCCCUGAAACAACCUCCACUGUCUUAGCUUUUACUAACAUCUUCCAUAAUUUCCAGGCCCAGCAGGCCUGAUCUUGUGCUCAACUUCCCCAACUUAGUCUCCUCCUUCUGUCAGAAAUAGCCUUUCUCUAUCUCCACCUGAGAUUAAUGUAUCCUGGAGAGUCUAUCUCUCUUUUCAGUGUCCAUAUCAAGGGCCGGCUCCUCCAGAAAGCCUUUCUAUACCUUCAACCUCCAACCUCAUAUCUCAUCAUUAGAAAAGAUCACGUUCUCAUUAGAAGCCCAAACCUCAGUAUCACAUAAUAUGCCCAUCUAACAAACCUGCACAUGUACACCCUGAACCUAAAAAAAAAUAAAAUAAAACAAAAAAAGAAAAGAAAAUAUACACUGAUGAGAAAAAAAAGGAUCAAAUCCAACUUUAAGUUCCUGAGUCUAACUUUCUAACUUUAUUUUAGUGCCUCCCAGAAUUAUCUGUGUUUGUGUCCACAUUAACCAUUGGCUGGGAUCAUCAUAAGUGAAUCACCAUGUUCCCCAAACCAAAAACUGCCCUGGCACACAGGAAGCUUACGUUAGUGUCUUAGUAUGGCAUAUAUGUAUACACACACUGUACACAUGAACACAUAUCUAUGUGAUGUUUCCAAACAUAGAUAUGUGUUCAUAUCCAAAGACAGUUGUCUUUGAAAGUAAACACAAUAAACUCGGAUAAACUUCUGGAACAUGGGGAUAGGAGGGUGGGAUGAAAGAAAGCAUUUAGUAAAUUUACAUUUCUUUAUGUAUUUCUUGACUCUUAAAAUCAAUAUAUCAUAAUUUAAUAACAUAAUUUAUUAAAAUGAAAAAUAAAAUAAUUCAUGUUAAUUGUAGAAUACAUACAUCUGUAAAGAAGAAUGACAAACAGGAAUAAUUUCCAGAGACUCACAAUCUACAUACAUUCUAUUUAUGUGAUUAGAUCCAUGUUAUUCUUAUGUUUCCUUUUUGCCAGUUAGCAUUGUAUGGAGAGUACUUCUCCAUUUUCUAUCAUUGGGUGUAUGAAUUGUUAACCACUUUGGAAUACUGCAAAUAAUCAUAUAAUGAAUAUACAUAUACUUAAAUCUUUGUGUGCAUUUGUUAUUAUUUACUAGGUUAGAUUCUUAGAAAUAGAACCACUGACUUGAAGGGAAUAUUAUCAUUUAAGGUUUUAAUCCAUGUUGCCAAAAUGUUUGUAAGAAAGUAUCCAUCUCACAAUACCCACAUCAGAACCAGGUAUUACAAUUUUUAAAACCUCCCAAACAUUUUCUUUUUCUUUCUUUUUUUUCUUUUCUUUUUUUUUUGAGACAGAGUCUCACUCCGUUUCUCAGGCUGGAGUACAGUGGCAGUGACUGCAACCUACGCACCCCCCAGGUUCAAGCGAUUCUCCUGCCUCAACCUCACGAGUAGCUGGGAUUACAGGCACCUGCCACCAUGACCCGCUAAUUUUUUUGUGUUUUAACUAGAGACAGAGUUUCACCAUGUUGGCCGGGGUGGUCUUCAACUCCUGAUGUCAAGUGAUGCGCCCACUUCUGCCUCCCAAAAUGCUGGGAUUACAGGCUUGAGCCACAGCGCCCAGCCCUAACAUUUUUUUUUUUAUGGAUUCUCCCUUUGCUUUUAUAAUGAGGGCACCUCUACCCUGAGAUGAAUCAGAUGCAUUAUUGUUUUUUGUCAAUUCUUUUACUACUUCUUCUUUAAUAUUUGAAUUUUUGAUCAAUUUAAAUCAAAUUAGGUAAAUUUUAUGAGGUAAGGGAGGAGACAUUUGCCUUGUUAUAAUUCCUGUAUAUUUAACCAAUCAUCCAUGUCAUAUUUAUUUAAUAAUCCUUCCCCACACUUUAAAUAAUUUGUAGUCUUAUUUUUGUUCUGUGUUUGAAUUACCAUAGCUGUAUAGUAUGAUUUGACAUCUGAUAGGGUAGAUUUCACCUUUUUAAUUAUUUAUUUUAUAUUCUGGGGUCAUUCUCAGCAUUUAUUUUGUCUAAAUGAAACGUAAACAGGCUGUCAAGUUUUCAACACAGAUCCAAGUGGAAUUAAACAUUUUUUUUCUUACGAAUAUUUGGGGACUUCAUUCCUUUCUUCCUUUUUUUUCUCUUCCUCCUCCCCUCCCUCCUUCUCCUCCUUCUUAUUCUAUUCUUCUCUCUCUUUUUCAUUCUCUUCUCCUUCCUUCCCUUCCUUUCCUUCUCAACUUCAUCUUCUUCGUUUCUCCAUCAUUAUCAUUUUCUGUUUAUUGAUUACACUUAAAUAAUAACUAUUUCAUAGAGAAAAUUAAAACUAGACAUAGUGAUCAAAUGUUGACAUGUUGUUUUUUGUGUCAAAUAUUCAAAUAUUUUUAAAUUGACAUCUAAAAGUUUAUAGAAACAGGCACAUUCCUCCACCAGAAUUUCCCUCUACUCUCAAAAGUAACCACCAUUAUAAAAUGCUGCACUGUCAGCAAACCACCAUGGCACAUGUAUACCUAUGUAACAAACCUGCACGUUCUGCACAUGUAUCCCAAAACUUAAAGUAUAACAAUAAUAAUAAUGCUGCACUGUCUUUUUUGUGUUGUUUUGUGCAUUUUUAACCUCUAAUUUCACAGCAUACUUAUUUGUCCAUAACUAUAUAUAUAGUGUUUUGCAUAUUUAAAACUUUUGUACAAAAUGUGUCAGAGUGAACAUGUUCUUUUGCAAUUUCAUUUAUUUUGGUCAACAAUAUGUGACUUUUCUUCAUGAACAUCCUGCAUAUUCCUUGUUUCAUUUAUCCUUGGUUAUUUAGAACAUUUCUUCUAUUUUAAUGCUAACUUCAAUUGACUCAAAUUUUGUUGACGGCUUGUGAGAUCAACCAAAAGCUAAAUGAAAUCAGUCUUCUGUGUGUGUGUUUGUUUUUAAUGCUUUCUAGAUUAGUCUGACAUGCACACCCAAUCGGAAAACACUAGCGCAGAAGAGGGAGAGCCUAAUAUCAGCAUUACCUAGGUAUUAGAAGAAUUUGGAUAUUAUUAUAUACACCUGGCAUGAUAGCUAGGACAGAACCUGUUCUGCCGGGAGAAGGCGCCUGCUCAGGGUUUCUCUUUCCCUACAUGGGAACCCCUGAAGGAGAGUCCUGCCUGUGAUCUUCAUUUAGAAGGCUAGUGCUGACCACUGCUUGGUUCUCAUCAAUCCAUCCUUGAGGUUAGUACUACACCUGUUUGAGCAGAAUUCUGGUCACAGUCUUACUCUGAAUUUGGUGUCCUUAUAACGCAACCCUUAAGUUCCCUAACUAUACCUCACCUAGAUUUUCCCACAUUGUGUCUCCACAGAUAUCCCCAAUCUCAUCUUAAAUCUGAAUUGAACCUGUCAUAUUAUAGCCUGGCUCUUCUCUCACCAACUAUUUGGGGGUAAUGUAGUGAUUCAUUUUGUUUCCACAUAUUAUUUUAAGUUCUUACUACCUCCUUCCCCCAUCUAGGUUCAGAUUUUCCCCUGCUUUUAACAUCUUGGUCCAGGCAGCUACAUUAUCAAACUGUACUAGGAUGGCAAAAUCAUUUUUUCACAUAUGCUAACCAUCAAUGAUUAGUGGUGAUUUUAUGGAAAAAUAUGUUGAGAAUAAUUUAGAGGAAAGAUUUGGGUUCAGAUAGAACUAUCUGCCAUUGGUAAGUAAAGUAAAGUGAUGUUGUCACUUAUUUUAUCCCAUCCAUGAUGAGAAUUGAUGUUUAUAAAACCUUUGACUAUACAAUGAGAGUAUUAAGCAAAAAACAAGUAACAAAAAUUAAAAAUAAAAUGCUUUUGUAAUCAAGGUCAGAGAGGAUAUUCUUUUACUUUUUCCAUUACAUUAUUCAUGUGUGCAUAAUGGUGUACAGUAUUACUUUCCAUGUGUAAAAAAGAAAUCAUACAAUAGAGUGCAUAGAGAAGUGGAGAAAUGGAGAAUAGUUCUCAAAGUUAUUUGAUCUGGCAGAUUAUCUUCCAAAGAUGAGUGCAACUGUAUUUUCCAUAUCACAGCCUCUUCUGGAAUAUUAAACUCUGCCCCCAUCAAGAGGUGGUGUCUGUGUCUGUUCUUGAAUUUGGGUGGGUCUUCCCGACUGCUUCAACCAAGAGAGUCCAGUAGAAAUGAUACUAUAUGAUUUUGGAGGUUAGAUCAAAAGACUGCCAUGCAUUUUAAUUUUGUUUUUUGAGGGUUGCUGUCUUUUAGAACCCAGCCAACAUACUGUGAUGAAGCCUAAACAACUGUGGAGAGGCUCACGUGGAGAGGAGUCAAUGCCCACUGAUCUAUAAGCCUUGGCUGAGCUCUGAGCCAACAGUCAUGAUCAACUUCCAGCCGUAUAAGUGAACCAUCUUGAAAGAGGCUUCACCAGCACCAAGUUGAGCAACUUGAUUAUGUUACCAAAGAUCACCUCCUUCCUAUCAUCUUCCGUCUGAGACUUGCUUAGAGUGAGUUUGGAAGCUGUGUUUUGCUCAUCCUGAAGACUGAACAUAAGAAAAUAUUGCUCAAGUUCUGGAUGAUGCAGCUGCUGAAAUAAUCUGUGGUGCACUUUCCUUCAGGAAUCCUUACCUAUUUUUUCAGGUGUUCCACAAGCCUUCUUAUCUUGGAAUUCAGUAAUACUUAUUGUGUGGUUGCUUACUGUUCCCUAGGCACCCUGAAGCAUUGAAGCUUUGAAGCUUUGUCUCAUGCUUUCAAGUAAUGUUCUCGUGUUUACCUGCUGAUAUUCCUUCAAAGUUAGAGGCUGCCUCUCUCCAAGUGUGGAAAAAAACAAUCAGAUGUCACUAAGAUAUUGUGUAACAAUUCAUAUUAAACACAUGAUCUUGUCAGUCAAGAAGAAGAGAUUAAAACAAACACCUUGAGAGUUCAUGAGUAGAAGUAUACAGCCCUGCAUUCAUGAUAAUAUGGUGCAUUUUACCUACCUUGCAGCAGAAAGAGAUAUCUAAUUCCAUACACAGCAAUGUAACUGUUUAAAGUGCUCCUAAAAUUCAGACAAAACAAAUUAUAAAUAGUAUCAAGAUCAAAGAAGCUGAAAGUCCCUAUGUUUGAUGUAGGCACAGCAAAGUUUGAUGUAUAUGCUCAUUUCUCAGCACUGCAAGUAUGGAGAAACCAUCAGAAAGCAUGCUGAAAAUAGAGAGGGCUUCUAAAACAGAAAGCUCCUGCCUGUUUUACUGAAGGCUACCAGAUUCUUUCUCAGAAAUUUUGUACAGUUCAGAGGCACAAAUGCUCUUUUAGGUCCUUUGAAGCACUGGGUUUAAUAUCGGAAUUUAAUCUUGGCUCUAGUCUCCAAUUCCUUACAUAGUCAUUCAAGCAAUCUUGGGGACCAAGUCUUCCAAUAGCAUAGUGAUAUUCAUGCCUGAAGUGGGAGGAAUAGAUAUCCUCCUCAUUAACAAGGGAUGAGAGAUCAUGUUUCAUAGGCAAAAUACUCAUGCAUGCAAAAAUGUAACUUUUCCAGUAAUUUUUUUAGUACUGAAAUUAGCUUAGCUCAUUAGCUCUCUCUUCUACCUAGUAGCAGGGAAUGCAGUUUUGCUAACCCAGGUGACUCAUUAUUUCUGUUUUCAAGUUUAGUUUAUUUUAGGUAAAUUUUUGAAUUCAUAAUGUUUUUCUGACCUUUCUUCUCUUCCAGAAGAGGUUAUUCUAACUUCUUAAUGGAUUUACUUUUGUAGUUG
rnacentral:lncRNA from 10 species